AGGGCUUAGUUUAAUUAAAAUAGCUGAUUUGCAUUUAGUUGAUGUAAGAUGAGAUCUUGCAGUCCUUA
rnacentral:tRNA from 1 species